rnacentral:rRNA from 1 species
CCUACGGGUGGCUGCAGUGGGGAAUAUUGGACAAUGGGGGAAACCCUGAUCCAGCGACGCCGCGUGAGUGAGGAAGUAUUUCGGUAUGUAAAGCUCUAUCAGCAGGGAAGAAAAUGACGGUACCUGACUAAGAAGCCCCGGCUAACUACGUGCCAGCAGCCGCGGUAAUACGUAGGGGGCAAGCGUUAUCCGGAUUUACUGGGUGUAAAGGGAGCGUAGACGGCAUUGCAAGUCUGAUGUGAAAGCUUGGGGCUCAACCCCAGGCCUGCAUUGGAAACUGAAAAGCUGGAGUACAGGAGAGGUAAGCGGAAUUCCUAGUGUAGCGGUGAAAUGCGUAGAUAUUAGGAGGAACACCAGUGGCGAAGGCGGCUUACUGGACUGUAACUGACGUUGAGGCUCGAAAGCGUGGGGAGCAAACAGGAUUAGAUACCCGAGUAGUC